rnacentral:misc_RNA from 1 species
UCCGGUUUGUCACCGGCAGUCCCCUUAGAGUUCCCACCAUUACGUGCUGGCAACUAAGGGCAAGGGUUGCGCUCGUUACGGGACUUAACCCAACAUCUCACGACACGAGCUGACGACAGCCAUGCAGCACCUGUCUUAGAGUUCCCGAAGGCACUAAGCCAUCUCUGGCAAAUUCUCUAGAUGUCAAGACCUGGUAAGGUUCUUCGCGUUGCGUCGAAUUAAACCACAUGCUCCACCGCUUGUGCGGGCCCCCGUCAAUUCAUUUGAGUUUUAAUCUUGCGACCGUACUCCCCAGGCGGUCUACUUAGUGCGUUAGCUGCGCCACUAAAGCCUCAAGGACUCCAACGGCUAGUAGACAUCGUUUACGGCGUGGACUAC